rnacentral:rRNA from 1 species
AGUGAACGCUGGCGGUAGGCCUAACACAUGCAAGUCGAACGGCAGCACAGUAAGAGCUUGCUCUUACGGGUGGCGAGUGGCGGACGGGUGAGGAAUACAUCGGAAUCUACUUUUUCGUGGGGGAUAACGUAGGGAAACUUACGCUAAUACCGCAUACGACCUACGGGUGAAAGCAGGGAAUCUUCGGACCUUGCGCGAUUGAAUGAGCCGAUGUCGGAUUAGCUAGUUGGCGGGGUAAAGGCCCACCAAGGCGACGAUCCGUAGCUGGUCUGAGAGGAUGAUCAGCCACACUGGAACUGAGACACGGUCCAGACUCCUACGGGAGGCAGCAGUGGGGAAUAUUGGACAAUGGGCGCAAGCCUGAUCCAGCCAUACCGCGUGGGUGAAGAAGGCCUUCGGGUUGUAAAGCCCUUUUGUUGGGAAAGAAAAGCAGCAGGUUAAUACCUCGCUGUUCUGACGUUACCCAAAGAAUAAGCACCGGCUAACUUCGUG